AGAUCAGAAGGUGAUUGUGGCUUUGGGUGGAUAGCAAUCAGCCACAGCACUGCCUGGUCAGA
rnacentral:pre_miRNA from 1 species